AACAGAAAAUAGCUUAAUUA
rnacentral:tRNA from 1 species